CUGGAAUAGUUGUCAGCCCGUCAGAGACCAAGCAACGGGUUUCCGCUUGGCCCUCGUCUUCUUCGCCGACAACCGGCAUCUCAUCCCGUAGUCCUGUGCACGAAGCCGCGAACCGACGAAUCCCCUUGUCCCCGCGCGAGAAUCCGAGCCGCUUCCGUUUGCAAUAUCCUUCCAUCGUCGCCUCCCCCGCUCCAGCACCCAGACCUGCAAGUUUUGACUCUCCUCGCAGCUUAAUCUUCUCUCGAUUUGCUGAAUCGGACGACCAGAGUUUCAGUUGAUACGUGAUACUGAAGCAGAUGCUUCUGCAUGUGCCUACUGUCCGUUGGCAACGCUGUACUUCGUACAACAUGUAUUCUCAAUCUAGUCAGUUACAGGGAAGGUUGACAGAAAGAGUGGCCUUUUGGAAUGCUUCUUGUUCACAAGCAGUGAGGAAUAGGAGCCACGCAAUAAUAGGUUUAGUUAGUUUUUCUGUUAAGAAGAGUGUAAAGUCAUAUGACCUGCAAAGUACAACAUGCUUUGUCAGUUUGGGGCAACAGUUGCAAUGCCGAGUAUCAAUGAGAGGCCAUAUUCUAAAUGUAAAGUUUGAUAUGCCCCCACAUCAAAAGUUCUCUAGUAUAAGCUGGAAUUUGGGAAGUAUUCCACGGAAAACAGGAGGUACAGCAUCUGGACUAGGCUUUGUACUGUCUGGGAUGGCGAAUGAUGAGGGUCUUGUGGACAAUAAUAUUGAUAGCACCCAACCUAUUGAAUCUUCGACGAAUUCAGCUCAUGGAAAGAAAGUUUACACAGAUUAUUCUGUAACUGGCAUUCCCGGAGAUGGAAGAUGCCUAUUCCGCUCUGUGGCCCAUGGUGCAUGCAUUAGAUCAGGUAAACCCAUUCCUAAUGAGGAUCUUCAGAAAAGAUUAGCUGAUGAUUUGAGAACAAUGGUUGCUGAUGAAUUUAUCAAGAGACGAGUAGAGACUGAAUGGUUUGUUGAGGGAGACUUUGAUACGUAUGUCUCUCAGAUUAGGAAGCCACAUGUGUGGGGAGGUGAGCCAGAGUUAUUCAUGGCUUCACAUGUUCUUCAGAUGCCCAUUACUGUAUACAUGCAUGAUAAAGAAGCAGGCGGUUUAAUAGCAAUUGCUGAAUAUGGCCAACAGUACGGGACAGAUGACCCUAUCCAAGUUCUUUAUCAUGGUUAUGGCCAUUAUGACGCUCUGCAGAUGCCGGGAAAGAGUGGUCCGAGGUCAAAAUUGUAACAUUUGGAGCUCAGAAGCCAAAUGGUGUGUUCUGGAGCGAUGCCUUCUUCAUCGAUACAUAUAUUUGCGAAUAUAAUCAGAGUUUGAGAAGUGAAGCACGGGCAUGAGGUUGAUCCAGCUCAAUGCUGCAAUGGUCGUCUUUGUUGGCAAAGAGCAGAUGACCAGAAUUUAACAUAAUCCUUUCGCAUGCCUGCAGCUGAUGAAGGAACAACGAUUGACUCGACUCCCGAUCUCCAGAUGCUCCCCAGUUCUGAAACGACCGGUCGGUUUUAGAGGAACCGAGCCCUGCCCAUCGGUCCUCCGCAAAAGUACAAAACUCCGUUGUUGAUUUCGUGUUAUGAUUGUUGCAAAGUCGGUGGAGAAGGCUACCUAUACAGUUUGAUGCUCUGUUUCAGACAAAAGCUAUGAACUUGUAGUUGAAACCAGAGAAGUCCACCGUUCAAGAUUUAACAGCUGGCUCCUGUAACAGCUCUAGAUUUCAAUUCAGAGUGCUUUCUUUUUUU